AUUGAACGCUGGCGGCAGGCCUAACACAUGCAAGUCGAGCGGAUGAAGGGAGCUUGCUCCUGGAUUCAGCGGCGGACGGGUGAGUAAUGCCUAGGAAUCUGCCUGGUAGUGGGGGAUAACGUCCGGAAACGGGCGCUAAUACCGCAUACGUCCUGAGGGAGAAAGUGGGGGAUCUUCGGACCUCAUGCUAUCAGAUGAGCCUAGGCCGGAUUAGCUAGUUGGUGGGGUAAAGGCCUACCAAGGCGACGAUCCGUAACUGGUCUGAGAGGAUGAUCAGUCACACUGGAACUGAGACACGGUCCAGACUCCUACGGGAGGCAGCAGUGGGGAAUAUUGGACAAUGGGCGAAAGCCUGAUCCAGCCAUGCCGCGUGUGUGAAGAAGGUCUUCGGAUUGUAAAGCACUUUAAGUUGGGAGGAAGGGCAGUAAGUUAAUACCUUGCUGUUUUGACGUUACCAACAGAAUAAGCACCGGCUAACUUCGUG
rnacentral:rRNA from 1 species